rnacentral:rRNA from 1 species
CCUACGGGAGGCAGCAGUGGGGAAUAUUGCACAAUGGGGGAAACCCUGAUGCAGCGACGCCGCGUGAAGGAAGAAGGAUUUCGGUAUGUAAACUUCUAUUAGCAGGGAAGAAAAUGACGGUACCUGACUAAUAAGCCCCGGCUAACUCCGUGCCAGCAGCCGCGGUAAUACGUAGGGUGCAAGCGUUAUCCGGAUUUACUGGGUGUAAAGGGAGCGUAGGCGGUUUAGCAAGUCAGAUGUGAAAGCCCAGGGCUCAACUCCGGGACUGCAUUUGAAACUGUUGAACUAGAGUGCGGGAGAGGUAAGUGGAAUUCCUGGUGUAGCGGUGAAAUGCGUAGAGAUUAAGAGGAACACCAGUGGCGAAGGCGGCUUACUGGACUGUAACUGACGCUGAGGCUCGAAAGCGUGGGGAGCAAACAGGAUUAGAUACCCCUGUAGUC